UUUCCGUAGGUGAACCUGCGGAAGGAUCAUUAUCGAGCUCUGACUGGGUUGUAUCUCGCCUUCAGACGCCUGUGCACGCCCUCCUCAUCCACUCUAUACCUGUGCACUUAUUGUGGGCAUCAGAUAGUGAAGCGUGCCCAAUUAUCGGAGCACGUGAAGCGUGUCUGUGCCUGCGUUUAUGACAACAACAAAACAGUAUAAGAAUGGGUUUUACUAUGUAACGCAUCCAUAUACUACUUUCAUCACUGGAUCUCUUGGAUAUCGCAUCGACGAAGAACG
rnacentral:misc_RNA from 1 species